rnacentral:tRNA from 1 species
GGGGUUGUGGCUCAGUGGUAGAGUACGCGCCUUGUGUGAGGCACUGGGUUCGAUCCUCAGCACCACA